rnacentral:rRNA from 1 species
AGCAGCCGCGGUAAUUCCAGCUCCAAUAGCGUAUACUAAAGUUGUUGCAGUUAAAAAGCUCGUAGUUGAAUUUCGGGAUCAAUAUGUUGGUCGUGCCUUGGUACGUACUGGCAUUAUCGAUUCCUACCUUCUGAAGAACCUCGAUGUCAUUAAUUUGGUGUCUUGGGGAAUCAGGACUGUUACUUUGAAAAAAUUAGAGUGUUUAAAGCAGGCUCGCGCUUGAAUACAUUAGCAUGGAAUAAUGAAAUAGGACGUUUGAUUCUAUUUUGUUGGUUUCUAGGAUCGACGUAAUGAUUAAUAGGGAUAGUUGGGGGCAUUAGUAUUCAAUUGUCAGAGGUGAAAUUCUUGGAUUUAUUGAAGACUAACUACUGCGAAAGCAUUUGCCAAGGAUGUUUUCAUUAAUCAAGAACGAAAGUUAGGGGAUCGAAGACGAUCAGAUACCGUCGUAGUCUUAACCAUAAACUAUGCCGACUAGGGAUCGGAUGAUGUAAUUUUUAAUGA